rnacentral:rRNA from 1 species
GUGCCAGCAGCCGCGGUAAUACAGAGGUCUCAACCGUUGUUCGGAUUCAUUGGGCGUAAAGGGUGCGUAGGCGGUCGCGCAAGUCGGAUGUGAAAUCUCGGGGCUCAACCCCGAAACUGCAUUCGAUACUGCGUGGCUCGAGUACUGGAGAGGAGACUGGAAUUUACGGUGUAGCAGUGAAAUGCGUAGAUAUCGUAAGGAAGACCAGUGGCGAAGGCGAGUCUCUGGACAGUUACUGACGCUGAGGCACGAAGGCCAGGGGAGCAAACGGGAUUAGAAACCCCCGUAGUCC